AGGAUAAUCAACCGAACACUCCGGAGGAAUUAGUGGUGGACACAACACCGUACUCCAUUACCACCCCUGUGGUAGUCAAAGGGUCUAAGCCGAUUCAUGAGCUACAACCGAUUACCUUAAAGGCACAAGAUUUUCAGGUGUGUAUUACUAUUAUUGAAGCACGCCACCUGGCGGGAUUGAAUAUGGACCCAGUUGUUUGUGUUCAAGUAGGCGAUCAA